rnacentral:rRNA from 1 species
UACGUAGGUCCCGAGCGUUGUCCGGAUUUAUUGGGCGUAAAGCGAGCGCAGGUGGUUUAAUAAGUCUGAUGUAAAAGGCAGUGGCUCAACCAUUGUGUGCAUUGGAAACUGUUAGACUUGAGUGCAGUAGAGGAGAGUGGAAUUCCAUGUGUAGCGGUGAAAUGCGUAGAUAUAUGGAGGAACACCGGUGGCGAAAGCGGCUCUCUGGACUGUAACUGACACUGAGGCUCGAAAGCGUGGGGAGCAAACCGG